CUCACCAGAUGGACCUAGGUGGGUGGAGGAAAAGAGAAAAACCCAUCCCUGAAGCAAACUCAGAUCAGCUGCAAUCCCGCCUCUUCAGGGAGUCCUCCCCAGCUGGCCAUGAUGUCAAUGGAUCACAGCCAAUCAUGGUCCAGUGGGAGCGGGAAAUUCAAAUGAUUUCUGUCUAUAAAAAUGUAUGUUUUCCAAUGUAUUACCAUAUCUCAGCUUCCUUCUGCAGCUUUUCGCGAGCUUACUUGAAUAAACUAUUUCAGUGGCUGCUUCUUCAACUUGGUGAGAUUUCUUGAUUGGGAAACAUUGGGUUAGCUUCUUCAUCUUGCUAGGUGCUUGGAUCCAUAGGUGGCCUGCUGCCAGUACUGGUAUCCGCACUUGGGUUUUGCUACAAGCGGCCCGGAUCUCACUAUCCGCGGCCAAUCCAAUUUCUCUCAAGAUGACAUACAACAACUGCUGCAAUUAGAUGUCCGUUUUCUGGGCCAGGGAUUGAUUUGACAGAACCACCUUCCCCAUUUUUAAAGUUAAAUUUUAUUAGACUUUAAAAAUAAUUUAAGUACAACAAAUUACAAAUAAAAAUUGUGCACACACACACCAAAAGACAAAACAACAUGCCUCUGGAGACACUUGAACACAGGAGCUCUUCUGCCUAGCUCACACCUGAAUUGGCAAAAGUCAUAGUUUGGUGAGGCACCAGCACAAUUUAGCAAAGAUGAUAUAAAACGAUAACUCUGAGGAUUCCAUAGUAUUGAGCCAUGGCAGUUUAAUUGGUAUCAAGCUGCAUUCAUUUUAUAUACAGUGA
rnacentral:lncRNA from 11 species